rnacentral:rRNA from 1 species
UACGUAGGGUGCGAGCGUUGCCCGGAUUUAUUGGGCGUAAAGGGCGCGUAGGCGGCUCGGCACGUCCGUUGUGAAAUCGCCCGGCUCAACUGGGCGGGGUCAGCGGAUACGGUCGAGCUUGAGCAAGCUAGGGGGCAAUGGAAUUCCGGUGUAGUGGUGGAAUGCGUAGAUAUCGGGAGGAACACCAGUGGCGAAGGCGGUUGCCUGGAGCUUUGCUGACGCUGAGGCGCGGAAAAGCGUGGGGGAGCGGAUC